rnacentral:rRNA from 1 species
AAUAUUGGACAAUGGGCGAAAGCCUGAUCCAGCCAUGCCGCGUGUGUGAAGAAGGUCUUCGGAUUGUAAAGCUCUUUCAGCUGGGAGGAAGGGCCGUAAGCUAAUACCUUGUUGUUUUGACGUUACCUACUGGAUAAGCACCGUCUAACUUCGUUCCAGCUGCUGCGGUAAUACGAAGGGAGCAAGCGUUAAUCGGAAUUACUGGGCGUAAAGCGCGCGUAGGUGGUUUGUUAAGUGGGAAGUGAAAGCCCCGGGCUCAACCUGGGAACUGCGUUCAAAACUGGCAAACUAGAGUAUGGCAGAGGGUGGUGGAAUUUCCUGUGUAGCGGUGAAAUGCGUAGAUAUAGGAAGGAACACCAGUGGCGAAGGCGACCACCUGGGCUAAUACUGACACUGAGGUGCGAAAGCGUGGGGAGCAAAC